GAUAAGCGCUGGCGGCGUGCCUAACCCAUGCAAGUCGAGCGAUUUGUAGCAAUACAAAGAGCGGCGAAAGGGUGAGUAACACGUGGAAAUCUGCCUCGUCGGAGGGAAUAACCCCGCGAAAGUGGGGCUAAUACCCAAAAGCAUCCGCAAGGAUGAGAGUCGAAAGGCCUGACGAGAGGAAUUCGCGUCCCAUCAGCUAGUUGGUGAGGUAAGGGCUUACCAAGGCUACGACGGGUAGGGGGUCUGAGAGGACGUCCCCCCACACUGGAACGUA
rnacentral:rRNA from 1 species